rnacentral:lncRNA from 1 species
GCCGAGGAAUGCCAAAGCUUGCCAGCAAACCACGAGAAGCCAGGCAGGCGGCGUGGAGCAAAUCCCCUCUCACAGAAGGAACCGGCCCUGCCAUCACCUUGAUCUCGGACUUCCAGCCUCCAGGACCAUGAGACAACACAUAUCUGCUGUGUAAGCCACAUGGUUUGUGGAACUUGGUGACAGCGGCUCUUGGAAACAAACACACAUGGCUUCUCCGUGUUGCGCCAGAAUUUCCUUCCUUUUGAAGGCUGACAUGUUGAAAGAUUGCACCGACUGCAGUGUGAGAACUGGUGGGAGGCAGGUAGAGCGGUUGGGCAGCCUGUCGGAGCAAUCGUCGCUGCCUCUUCCCAGAGCCCGUUGAAUGUGGCUGUGGAUGGUGAGUAGGGAUGACAGCUCAUCACUGCCCCUGCAGCUCCUUCCACCAGCUCCCUCUCUGGCAAUGGGGGAUAUUCACGCAGGGUGAAUUCUAACUCCCUCCUCAGACCAGCACCUGCAAGUCGAUCUGGAGUUUCCUAACCUGUGCCUGAGCUGCUGCAGGUCUCUGCGUUGCUGGCACGUGCCAGCUUUCUUUCUGGGGCUUGAAUUGCUCACUGCCUUUAGCCCCCUGUGAUAUAUGUGACCACAUCCCCACGUGGCAGGUCCUCAUCGCAUGAGUGUCACUGCGUCUGCAGCUCCUUGGUCCCAGUGGGAUCUGGAACAUGGCACUUUGUCUCCUGGGGCCCAGCUUUCCUCAUUCAGGCAGUGGGCCUGUAUCAGCACCGAUUCCAUGUUAAAGAAGAAUUUUCCUUGCUCGAGUGUAUGACUGCUUUGCUGAAGCUGGUAGACUUAUUCACUAAAAACAGCCUCAAGAAAAGAGGACCUUGAGCAUAGGUGAGAGAGAAAUGCGCUAACAAUCCCGGGAGCAGGCUGCCUGGCAGUUUUCUACCACCAGAUAAGAAGACUCUGGCUGUGCCUGCAAAAGGUCACAAGACACUCACCAAGACAGCAGUGAUGAACUGCCUGCCUGGGGCUGCGCGCAUAGCUGCUGUUGCAAAGAAUGCUUUGAUCAUCAUUUGCGCUUCCCUAACUUCCCUUAAAAACCACUGAUCUAGAGACACAACUCAAAGAAGGAGUCUUUGAACACACAUCACUGCCUCCUCCUGGAUUGCCC